rnacentral:misc_RNA from 1 species
AAGGAUCAUUAGUGAAUUUAGGGUGACUAUUCGUAGUACCCGACCUCCACUUCUAACACUGUGCACUUAUUGGCAAGGAAAGAUAUUUUGAAAAGGCGAGAGCCUUGGAAAAAUUCUGACCUUGCGGCUUUAUUUUAUAACUCCAAGUUAAAGAAUGUAAACCAAUCAAAAACAAAAAAAAACUUUCAACAACGGAUCUCUUGGCUCUC